UACAGAGGUCCCAAGCGUUGUUCGGAUUCACUGGGCGUAAAGGGCGCGUAGGUGGCGGGGUAAGUCGGAUGUGAAAUCUCGGAGCUCAACUCCGAAAUGGCAUUGGAAACUACCCUGCUAGAGGGUCGGAGGGGGGACUGGAAUACUUGGUGUAGCAGUGAAAUGCGUAGAUAUCAAGUGGAACACCAGUGGCGAAGGCGAGUCCCUGGACGACUCCUGACACUGAGGCACGAAAGCUAGGGGAGCAAACAGG
rnacentral:rRNA from 1 species